rnacentral:misc_RNA from 1 species
GAUGAAGAACGCAUCGAAAUGCGAUAAGUAAUGUGAAUUGCAGAAUUCAGUGAAUCAUCGAAUCUUUGAACGCACAUUGCGCCCCCUGGUAUUCCGGGGGGCAUGCCUGUUCGAGCGUCAUUUCACCACUCAAGCCUCGCUUGGUAUUGGGCAACGCGGUCCGCCGCGUGCCUCAAAUCGACCGGCUGGGUCUUCUGUCCCCUAAGCGUUGUGGAAACUAUUCGCUAAAGGGUGCUCGGGAGGCUACGCCGUAAAACAAACCCAUUUCUAAGGUUGACCUCGGAUCAGGUAGGGAUACCCGCUGAACUUAAGCAUAUCAAUAAGCGGAGGA